GCAGUGGUGGUUCAGGGGUAGAAUUCUAGCCUACCAUGUGGGAGACCUGGGUUCGAUUCCCAGCCAGUGCA